AUUCAAAGACCCGGAGCGACCAACGAGGACUCUGUUAACAAUUGAUCUUAGUUCGAGCACGACGCUCUAGCCGGGCUACUCUCUUGCAACUCUUCCACCGCCGGAAUGAAUUCGAGCUCCACCUCUAUUUGCAGGAAGCCGCUCCCCGAAGAUGUAGGAGGAUAAAGUCUGUGCCAUGUUUAUGUACCUGGCCUACAUACAGAUCCUUUCGCUUCUUGGAAACAAUCAGAAUGUUGGAUGCAGGAAUUCUUUUCAACAUUGAGUGGAGUUUGAGGAGUUAAUGUAAUGGUAGAACUAUGUGUUACAGAUCUGGACAAAAAGGACUUGGAAUUGGAUGAUUUAACUGUGGUGCUUAUUAACACGUUUUAGUCUCUCAAUAAUAUUAUGUGACUAUGGUUUCUGCACGUUUCAUGCUUUUUUUUUUCUAAAGAUAAUUUCUUCUUUCUACUUGGCUCAUCUUUUUAUUUCUAAUUAUAUUCAUGCUAUGCUCUACAAUUGAAGCAUGGUAUUUAUACCAAACUGGUCUUAGUGGGAAGUAUUUUGGCAAUUGAAUUGUUCACUUUCUAGAAUUUGUUGAGGUUAAGGGUUGAAAUGUACUAAUUAUAGUUAUUUUGCCCCAUACUCUUCUGAAGUCCUAGAUCAAUUUUGAGUUGUAAUUCUAAGAGGACUAGUGGCUGUAAUCCCUUACACAUGGCUUGCUACUUUCCAACACUUAAGAAUGAAGAUUUUGAGGAUGAGAUAUAUUAUGAUCAUUAUUAUUACUAUUAUUAUUAAAUUAACAGAUAAUAUGUGAAUUUGCUUUCUCAACCCAUUCCAUUCACAGACUUCUUCUAUAAUUGGUCAAUUAUGCCCUGCCUUGUUAAUACUUUCUAUUUUACUUAUGAUGAUGGGGACAGGAGCUUGUAAAUUAUCCUGGCUUCUUUGAACCAAUACUAUUGAUUCUCAAUGCAAUUUUAUGAGCAUUUGGGGUGGUGACAGUUGCAACUACUAUUGCAAGCUUCCAACUGCCAUAUUGUUUCUGUUUACUUGUCAUGAGCUGUCAUUAUCUCUUCACUAGGGAUUUUCUUUGUUUUAAUUGUUGUUGGUUGGCAUCUAUGAGUUAAAUCAUAUUUUACAUGAGUGGAUCUUCCAUCUCUUCUUCCCCA